UCGGUAGCAGUGGAUUCUCCGGCCAUGUUUCCUCGAUGUAUUCAAGGAUAACAAGAGACUCCGCAAUCGGCUUGCCACCAUGGACGAGUACAGGGAUUUUCUUGUAAACUGGGUUAUACUUCAAUAGCAGUUCACUUUUAUUGGUGAGGUCUUCUUCAAUAUACUCAAACUCCACGCCCUUUAGUUUCAGAGCCCAUAUAAUUCUGUAACUAAAAGGGCUAGCCCAGAAACCAUGCAGCUUCACAUCUGCCAUCGUUCCAAUGAGAUCAGAAUGCAAGGUCUCCUGCUGUGCCGAGUCCUCUUAUAGCGUCUUUUGGCUUGGGCAACAAGUAUUGGAUGCAAGAAACAUUUUUUUAUAUUGCAAGUAUUGACUUGACUUGGUCCAUAACUUUGAUUCCGAUUUUUUUUUAAUUUAACUUGGACAUCGUAAUUUGCAAGUAAUCCGUACGAUGAUUUUUUUUUUUUUUUGGGUCACGGUAUGCAGUUUAUUACUUUAUUUUCCUUUCAAGAAACUCUGACUACUCUGUAGAAAGUCACAUUCUUUGAACGUAUUCAUGCCUAGCCUUCGGAUUAGGUGGUGGAACCUGACAUGCCUACCAAUAUCACGAUGUUAUUGAAUUAAGAAAAGCAGAAAUAAACUAUCCGAGUUGCAACCUUUUUCUUUUGUUAACCUCUGCCAAAUAAUCCAUCGACUAUCUGAUUGAUCACUAAUUAACUACAAACUAAAUUUUUUAAUAUUGAUGAUUUGUAGUUUAACUUGUAAAAUUUUGAAUUUGUUUUUUUAAAGUUUAUUUAAUGUUAUAAAUUUUGAAAUUACUAAAAAUUUAUCUUAUUAAUUUUAUAGUAUCAUGACAUUAGUUAAAACGCUUCUAAACAAACUUAAAUACUCACGGUUAUAUAUAUAUAUAUAUAUAUAUAUAUAUAUAUAUAUAUUAUCUUUCUAAUAUGCUGAAAUUAUUUGCACUUCUUUAUAAUUUAUUGGAAUUGAAGUAGUGUAUUUUUAAUAAUUUUUAGUUUGAUAUUUAAAUUUUUAUUUUGUGCAAUUUACUUUUCUCAAGUACAAAUUAACUUUUAAUUACAUAUUUUUUAAAGGAAAAAAAAAGUUGAAUUUAAAUAUAGCAAACUAAAGCAAAAAUAUAGAGUGAUAUGGCUACAGAUUAAAAAUUUUAUUAAAACAUUUAUUUUAAUUCUCUCAUGUUUUUUAGAUAUUAGAUGACCAAUGUUUUAAAUUUAAAGACAAUAUAUUUUGAUAUCUAACUUUAUUUUUCUCUUUUGUGUAGUUGUUUUCUACUGGGAGGAAAGAGAAAGAGCUGUCGAAUUCUAACUUAGAUAUAGAAAGUUGUCACUAUGGAAGAUUCUAAUAGCCAAAAUGAUUGAUUUUUAGGUCAAAAUAUUUCAUAUAAUGAGAGGGUUAUGUUUAGGUGUUUGUUUACCUUAAAAACACCUCAAGCAACAAAUUUAAGUUCAUGAAGAAUUUUAUUUUCUUGUGUUUUUAGGUUUUGUGGUGAUUUAUUAGGUUUCUGGAGAUCAUGAAUUAGUUUAAUUUAAUUUUUCUAGAGUAUUUUCAAUAUGUUUUGAGUCAAAAGAAGUUGAAAAGAAGAUUUUGGAUGAAAAAACAAAGGACCUUAUUUUUAUAGCCACCAUAGUGAUCCGAUUAUAUGUUUCACAGGUGAAACGUCUUUAUAUAUAUAUAAUUGAAACGGACAACAUGUUGUUCACCUAGUUAAACUCUUUUAAAAAAUAAAGGCCUGUGUGCGGGCCGUUGCUUUAUUAGGCCAUGUACUAGGCCUAACCUUGUUCUUUUUAAAAAGAAAAUUUAGUUUUUUAAAAAAUAAUAAAUUAUUUGCGUGUAUUUUUUCAAAUAAAUUUUGGGUUUAUAUUUUAAAAAGAUUGUGACCAUUUUAAAAUGAUAUUGGGUGUGUUAAAUUUUUUUUUAGAGAGAUGAGUAUGAUUCAUCCGUGAUUUUUUUUUCUAAAUUUUAUAUAAAUUAAGUUUGUUUUUUUUAAUAUGAUUUUUUAUAAGAUUUUUUUAUAUGUAUAGCCUUGCAUUGUUUUUUUUAAUUAUUAUUAAGUAAAUUUUAUGUGUGUGUCGAUUUCUAUUAUAAAAUUUAUGUGUUUUUGUUUUACAAAUUUAUUUUGAUAAAGGAAUUCAUUAGAUAUAAUCAAGUAAAUUACUCUUAUUGCAAUGUUAGAUAUCUUGAUUUUUAUUUUUAGCUUGGUUUUUUCAAUUUUAUUUUUGUCCAUUGUUGAUGAUUUUUUUUUCAUUGCUUUACAUAAUAGUUACUAGAUUAUUUAAUUAGAUACAUGCUUAGGUUAUUUGAUUUACACCUAGGAGUUUUUUUAGUAUAAAAAAACACAUUGAAGAACUCUGUAUACAUUUUAUUUAUGUUUUGAUGUUCAAGAUUUGAUGUUUAUUCUUAUGAUUUUUAAAUUUUUUUUCUUUGAAUUUUUUAUGGAAGUUUCAUUGUUUUUAGUUUUAUUAUUCAAUCAAAGUUUAUAAUGUAUUGUUUUUUUAUGUUUUUUUUUUAUCUUUUUACUUUUGAUUUUUGUUCUUUUAUUAAUGUUUCCAUUCUCUUCAAUUUAGCUCUCAAAACUAAAAUCUGUUGUUGCCUUUUGAUUUAUUUUAUUGUAAUUUUAACACUUAUUGUUUUUAUUUUGGAUUUUUUGUGUUUUUUUUUUUGUGAUAUAGUUUUUUUUGGUUUUAUAACCCGAGUCAUGGUUUAAAAAGUUAGCAGUAAUUAACUUUUUUUUAUCUUAUUUGUUUAUAUUCAUAUUUUUUAUAUUUUUUUCUAUAAAAUUAUCAUAUUCUCAUUUAAUUUUUAUUUUGUUAACAAAUAAAAUCAUUGAGAUGUUUUUGGAAUAUUGUGAAGAUAUAUUUUUAUAAUAUUGGUAAGUGUUUAAUUUUUGCAUUGAAUUGUUAUUUUUUUUGUUUUAUUUAUUGUCAAUAUCUUAUUUUUUAAUAAUAUUAUUAAAUUAAAAAAAUUUAUUAAACUCAUUCAAGCCAAUUUUUUAAAUAUUAUAUUUAUUUUUGUUUUGUUUUGUUUUGUUUUAUUUUAUUUUUUCAUAUUUUUGACACCAAAACAAAAUUGAUGGCGGUUUUAGUUUUGGUGCCCAGAUAACCCGCUGGCUGAAUGGGCUUGAACUCAACCCUAAUAACUUUAUAUCUACCAUAUUGAUAACUGAACUGUGACUUGUGUUCAACGAAUGAGGGCUUUAAAUUAUUCAUUACAGACUUUUUUUUUCUUUUUCUCUUUUUAUUGCAGACUUUUCUUCCUGGCUGUCCAAAUAAAUGGAAAAUUAAAAUUUAUCAACUCCACAACACAAAAGGUCUUGCUUAGAUAACCCUGGUUAGGAGAAAAAUACAUUUCAGCGUUCUCUUGGUCCAUUCCUGGAUAACACAAAGAUGAUGGCCUUCAUCAACGAGUCUAAGGGUGUGUUUAUUUUUUUAAAAGUUAUUUUUAAGAAAUUUUUUUUAAUUUUUUUGUAUUUAUUUGUUAUUAAAAAAGUUGGUGAAUGAAAAACACUUUCCGAUCAUAUAAAAAUUUAGCUAGAUUUUCAGAAAAGUAUUUUCAUUUUAUUUUGGAAGAAAAACACUUUUUAUAAGUUGUAAAAUAUUUAAAAAUAUCAUAUUAUUUACUGAUUAUAUCAAAUGUGAUCCAAUCUUCACUUAAUUACUAACCUAUAAUUAGUAUAUUUUGUAAAUUGAAAUUUUAGCUUUAGUACCUUUCUCAAAGACAAGACUACUUUUUUUAUUUAUUUACGUGGGUGUCCGGGCCAACUUGUGCGCACCACGACUAAUCUCACGGCCCACUGAACAUCCUACAAGCCCAGUGAGCAUAUAAAACACCACGGAGGUGACAUGCGUGCACAAUGAGACUUGAACCCUGGUGCAGAGGAAGGGAACAAGUCCCUUCUACUACUAGGCCAAGACCUCAAGUGCAUACAAGACUACUUCUUCAUGAUCUGGCCAUUAUGAGAUUGGCUUUCUCAAAAAACUGGUGUUGUACGGAACUAAAAGAUCACGAAUUAACGAUAUUCAUGAUACAAACAAUGGCAUGAAUGCAACUUCUUGAUCCAUUAUCCAAUGUGGGUAUUCAUGUUUCUUGAUUUUGUGAAAUCAUAAAUGUCGCAACCCGGAAAAAGAUUUUUAUAUAAUUAUAAAGUUUAAGAGUAAUGAUCUAAAAUUAUGAAUACUAUAAAAUUUAUUAAUCUACGAGAGACUUGUUAUGUAAAACAAAGAUGCAUCACCCCCUCCCCUGGAAAACAGAUUUAUUGAACCUUGAGUGAAUUUGGAAAUAGCUCUAAUCUCAGGAUUACUGUCAGUUAAUGUUGAUGUAAACUAGAUGAACCCUCAUUAUGGUACUUGGGCUAAAAGUUUAUACGAAAUCCACAUACAAAAUCAUUAGCACUGUUAUUCUAUUCUGGGUGUCCCAUUCAAAGCAGACCCCUCCCUGUCCAACCAAAACGCCCUCCUGGUUCUUCUGUUUACCUUUCUUGGCUGUCAAGAGGCGUGGCAAAGAAGAUUAGCAUUGAUACCGUCAUGCAUGGCGUAUAUCUAAACGGCAACUUCCAGGAGAUGAUAUGUAUGGUCAACAUUAUUAACAUUAAUAAUGCUUAUUUAACCCAGAAAAUCAUGAAGUAAAUCGCAAACCGUGAGAAAUUGCUGAGAAACUUCUACAGAAAAAGAAAGAACAUGCAUCGCAUUAAUUAUUGCAUUUCUUAUCUCCAUAGUCAAGUCUUCUUUCGACAGAGAAUUGAAGUGAAUAUGAUUAUGUAAGCAAAUAUAUCAAUAAUGGAGGAAGUAAACCUUCUUUUCGAGGUAUAUCCCUUUCAUUAACUAAAUUAUUUUGAAUUUGCUGACCCAUCACACAGAAGCAAAGGCAAAAGAAUAUUGAUGGUCGGAAGUCUGUUUACAUUGUAUUAAAAUAAUUUUUUUUUCUUUUAAAAAAAUAUAUUUAACUUUGGAUCAUCAAAAUAAUAUAAAAAUAUAAAAAAAUAAUUUUUUUAAAAGUACGUCUGAAAUGCAUUCGCGGCCGCCCUCGAUAGCAAAUGUGUACUGCCCACAGCCCAAGCAAGACUCUUUCAUUAAAAAUCAGCACUAUAAAUGACAAUGGCAGGUAAAGAACAGUCACCGUACAAAUCCCUUGGUCAUGGCGGAGGUAGUGAAGCUGCUCGGAGCAUUGUCCAGCCCAUUUGUUUUCCGAGUGAUAUGGGCUCUAAAAAUGAAGGGCAUUCCAUAUGAGUUCAUAGAAGAAGAUGUUACCAGCAAAAGUCCUCUGCUUCUGAAGAAGAACCCUGUUCUUAAGAAGAUCCCAGUGCUUCUCCAUGGCGAAAAACCAGUUUGCGAGUCCAUGAUUAUUGUCGAAUACAUUGAUGAGAUAUGGCCCCAAAAUCCCUUGUUGCCCAAUGACCCUUACGAGAGAGCUCUGGCUCGUUUCUGGGUCAAAUUUACCGGCGAUAAGGUAAAGAGUACAGGCAUCAUUUUACAUUACAUCAAAUAUUACUAUGAAACCGAGUUCUGGGCUUUAAAAAAAAACUGGUUUCUGCUGAUUUGGUUAGUUCAUGAUCAAUGAUGAAUCAUUAGGUUGACUUGCCGAGCUGUUCUGAUAAAAUUGAUUAACGGAAAGAAAGUAAAUGGAAAGGAAUAUAAAAGAAAUACAACAGUGUUUACACACCAAACCGAAAUUAAUGCAAUAGCUGCAUCAACCAUUAUGGAGUGUAUUACAGUAGAAAAACAAGCUCAACUACAAGAGAAAAACCAUCCAUGGAAACGAAAAGGCGAGGCAUACAUGGAAUAUUUCGCAUCCAAAAGCAUAAUCUAGGCUACUUGUUCAUCAUUUUCUCCCUGACACUUUUCAUAUGGAGGAGCAUCUUAUCAUUGUCAGGAAUGUUUUCUUUAAUCAGAGGAACUUCAAGGAAAUUCUGGGCCCAAGCAUGCAAUCGAGGCAGUGUGCUUGGUUCAAGAACUUUCACACCCGCUAGUUCUUCAAUGGCUGCAAACCAAUAAGCGAAGAGUCCAUAUGAGAUGUCAACUAGAUUUAUGCUGUCACCGCCAAAAAACUUCUUGUCCCCGAGACCUUGCUCUUCUAAGACUCUCAACACUUCCACCACUUCUUUCACUGCCUUCUCUAGCUCCUCUCCACUAGCUCGGAAAAGGGCAACCAAGGCAGCACCCUAAAUUAUGAAAGAAUUCAAUUUACAUGUCACAGAACAGAGAUAAAUGAAUAGAUAUUUGAAGGUGUUUAGCCUGAGGAGAGUAAAAAUAAAAGAAGGCAAGUUGUGAUAAAUUUUUAAUUAUUAUUCCACUUUAAGAACAAGAAGAAGAAAAUGUUUUUUUGGAAUCAAUUGUUUUUUCCAGGACUGCUACCAGAUCAAAUUAAACAUUGUGGGCCUCAUGAACAGUUACAAAAUAUAUACAAGAAGAUGGAUCUUGUUACCUUGGUAGCUCCAUAUUGAAUCCAAAACCGAGCCAUGGCUCUCUCGUAAGGAUCAGUCGGUAGCAGUGGAUUCUCCGGCCAUGUUUCCUCAAUGUAUUCAAGGAUAACAAGAGACUCCGCAAUCGGCUUGCCACCAUGGACGAGUACAGGGAUUUGCUUGUAAACUGGGUUAUACUUCAAUAGCAGUUCACUUUUAUUGGUGAGGUCUUCUUCAAUAUACUCAAACUCCACGCCCUUUAGUUUCAGAGCCCAUAUAACUCUGUAACUAAAAGGGCUAGCCCAGAAACCAUGCAGCUUCACAUCUGCCAUCGUUCCAAUGAGAUCAGAGUGCAAGGUCUCCUGCUGUGACGAGUCCUCUUAUAGCGACUUUUGGCUUGGGCAACAAGUACUGGAUGCAAGAAACAUUUUUUUAUAUUGCAAGUAUUGACUUGACUUGGUCCAUAACUUUGAUUCUGAUUUUUUUUAGAUCUGUUUGUUUGCAGGAAUUUUUUUUGAAAAAUAAAUUUUGAAAAAAGUGAAUUCUAGAAAAGUAAAUUUCGAGAAAGUAUUUUUCGAUGUUUGGUAGUGUAAUGAAAAACGAACUGGAAAACACUUUUCAGUUUUUUGUUAUGUUAUGGAAAAUAAAUUGGAAAAUAAUUUAUUAAUGAAUUAAAUUUUUUUUUUAAAGUUAUCUAAUAUAUGAAAAAUAUUAAAUAUAAAUAUUUAAUCUAUUAAUUUUAUAAAAUAUAACUAUAUAUGUCAUAUAAUAUUAUAGAGAUAUAACCUUGUGAAAUUUUUCAUAAAUAAAACCUAUUAAUUAUUUUUUUUCAAUUUUAAAAGCUUAAAAUAUGUUUUUUUUUCAUAUGAAUAAAGCCAAAUUAGUUUAUAAUGGUUAUGGAAAUGAUAUCUGAUUCCCUAAACAAAUAAGGUCUUAAAAUAUAUUAUUUAAGAUCAUAAAAUUCAAUUUCUCGAUGAUAAAACCGUUUUGAAAAUUAUACAAUUCAUAAGUUCACAAUAAUCAAUAGACAUUGCACAAUGAAAUCCAUAUAAUUACCGGUAUAGACCCACAAAUUUAUUCAUAUGUAACAAAUAUAAUCAAACACUAAUCAUAUAUUAAUCAAAGCAAAUUAAAACACAUAUUUAUGUUUAUUCUUCUGUUAUAAUUCCUCUUAUUAAUGUAACAUGUAUUUAAACAUCCCCACUUCCCUUGUUUUGCAGGUUAAAACUCUCAUCAUCUCUUGCAUUUCCCUUACAAACACGCAACCUUCCCCAUGUUUUGCAGGUGCUCAUGAGACUAAAUUCAAUGGCUACCUUCAACGGCUUAAUCUACAAAGCCUAGUAAUCAGCCAUGAAAAGACCCAUAAUCCUUCAAAGCUUCCUUCCUUUGACUUCACAAGUAUAAAAUUAAACUUAUAAUUCCAUUCCCCUCUCCCAUUCCCCCCCUCUCUUGAUCGAUUCCCCUCUCCCAUUCCCCUGUUCCCUCUCCCCCUCCCUCUCGGUCGAUUCCCCGUGUUCCCUCUCCCUCUCAGUCGAUUCCCUUCUCGGUUUCUCUCAUUCCCCUUCCCUUAUUCCCUCUCCCAGGGGCAACAGGGCUCCUAUUUCCCAGUUCUCCUCCCUCCCUCCCCCGGCUACUGUUAAAAAAAAGACAGAGAGCAAGGGUUGAUUUUCAACACUUCCACUCGGGAUAUGGUGGCUGGAUCCGGGGAUGGGGUAACAGGGAGGGGAUUCUUUUUGCUAUGGAAGAUUGAUUAACACAGUUCGGGGAUUUUCAAGUGCCUCUCUUCGUGCACUUGAUUUGGUUUGUCUGGUUAGAAUAAAACUGCUGAAUGUGAGUGAUGAAGAAGAAAACUGUCAUGGAAAAAUUGUGUUUUUUGUGGCUUGCUUGAUGAAUUUUAGUUGUGUUAUGGAAAACAUAUGAUAGGUAGCAGAUGCUUCUACAAUAGUUCCUGCUUCCAAUCGUUUUUGAAGAGAGAGAGACCGUGAUUUACGAAAAUGAGUGUAAUGAAAAAAAAAAAGUGUUUUCCUUUCUUUAUCAGAAGGAAAAUACUUUCCUUUGAUAAAACAACUUUUUUAUGUUGAUGGGAUUAAGAUUUUAUUGAUUAUUUUUUCAUAUUGUUACCAAACAUGAAAAAAUAAGGAAAAUAAAUUUUAGGAAUUCGUUUUCCUUGAAACAAACAAGGACUUAAUUUAACUUAUACAUCGUAAUUUGCAAGUAAUUCAUACGAUGAACUUGUUUUUUUUUUUUUGUCACGGUGUGCAGUUUAUUUUCCUUACAAGUUGCAAGAAACACUGACUAGUCUGUAGAAAGUUACAUUCUUUGAACGUGUUCAUGCCUAGCCUUCGGAUUAGGUGGUGGAUAUGGACACACGUAGUCAUGAACCUGUCUGGCUUUCGAACUUCGAAGAAAUCUCAGUGCCCAUCUCCAAGACCUGACAUGCCUAUCACUAGGGGUGUGCAAAAAAACUGGAAAACCGAAUAAACCGAGAAAACAAAAAAAAAUUAACUGAAAAAACCGAACCGAAAAAAAAAACACUGAUUAAACCGAUUAUAAUAGUUAGAAAAAAUCCCGGUUCAAUUCGGUUUUCAGUUUUGUAAUGCAGGAACCGGUUAACCCGGACCGAACCGAACCAGUUCAAAUAAAAAAAAUGGUACUAUAAAUACCUUCCAAACCCAUCUACAGUUCUACAUUUCAGUCUCUUCUUCUAAGUUUCUAACCUAGCCCCCCCUCACUCCCUCUUGAUUAAAUCUUCAUCUACUCUAUUCUCUCCCACCUUCAGUCUCUUCUUCUAACCUAGCAAACCUAGCUGCCGCCCCCCCCUCACUCCCUCUUGAUCAAAUCUUCAUCUCUAUUCUCUCUCAUCUAAAUAUAUGCUUUGUAGCUUCUUGUUCUAACCCUAGCAAAUCUAGCCGCCGCCCCUCCCUCUUGUUCAAUCUCUCGAUCAGAUCUUAAUCUCUCCCAUAUAAAGAUCUACUUUUUAGUUUCCUCUUCCAACCCUAGCAAACCCAGUCGCCGCCCCCUCCCUCUUAUUCAAUCUCUCAAUCAAAUCUUCAUCUCUCAAUUAUCUGUCUCUAAAUCAAAAUUAGCAGUCGUUCCUUCAAGUUCUUUGUCUCUCCAAGUUGGAUGACAAAUUUGAUGCUUUCUAUUUUCUUUUCUAAAUUGUUUUUUUUUUUAGUUUUUAUCAGUUUAUAUUAACCUAUUUUGUUAAACUUUUCAGGUGAACUAUUCAAGAGAACCAGAUGCACUUUUAAUGUCCAUGUCGUGAGAAAGAUAGUUGAUGCAUUUUAUUUCAAUUUCAAGGACUCCUGCAGAUUGUAUUUCUUUAAUUUUAUUAGAGGCAUUGUUUUCUUGGUUUGUGUUAUUUUAUGUAUAAUUUUAUUUUGGAUUUUGAUUAGAGUUGAUUGGUUUGAGAAAACUACUGGGUGCAAAUUAAAAAUAUUUCGCCUAUUAUUUGAGAUAAAUCUUGGUAAAGGAAAGUAAAACAAUGAAUAUAGGUUUUUUAUAUUUGAUUAUAAAUUUACAAGCCUUUUAAAUGACCCCAUCAAAAGUCAUAAAAAGCCAAAAAAAAUUGAACUGGUUUUUCCGGUUUUUCUCUUUAAUUAACCGAACCAAACCGAAUCGAAAUUGAUCGGUUUGAACCGGUUUCGUUUUUUUAAAAAAAAAAAUAAAAUUGAUUUAGUUAUUUUUUUAAAUAAAAACCGGACUGAACCGGAAAUGCUCACCUCUACCUACCACUAUCACGAUGUUAUUGAAUGAAGAAAAGCAUAAAUAAACUAUGCCUGAUUUGACAAACUUUUUUUUUUUUAAUCCCUGCCAAACCAUCCAUCGACUAUCUGAAUUCAAAAGUAUCAGCUUUUUUAAUAUUGAUGGUUGUAAUUUCACUUGUAAAAUUUUGGAUUUUUUUUUAAAAAUUUAUUACUUCGAGUGUUAUAAAUUUUGAAAUAACUAGAAAUUUACCAUACUGAUAACUGAACUGUGACUCGUGUUCAGCAAAGGAGGGCUUUAUAUUAUUCAUUGCCGACUUUUCUUUUCCUUUUCUCUUUUUAUUGCAGACUUUUCUUCUUGGCUGUCCAGAUAAAUGGAAAAUUAGAAGAGGAGCAGUCAAAGUUAGGCUGCAUGAUUUGACGAAGGUUUUUUUCUGCCCCCUCUUAUCCAUGGCCGCCUCUGUUCAAGCUGAGAUUGCCCUUGGAAAUCCUAACUAAGAUGCACAAAUUGAAAAACUCAAUUCCAUGGCGAGUCUCCAGUUUGCUUAACUGCUUAGCUUGCUUUCAUACAGAUCACAGAGAAUUUACUCCUGGCUCUACGCACUGGUCUUUCCAACAGACAAGGAGAAAUCGAAAAACAAAUAACAAUGAUCGCAAGUUUUAUGGAUAUCACCAAAAUGAUCUAACAUCACUGGAUAUUCUAAGCUUGCAGCCUGAUUAAAAUUUAUUGACUCCACAACACGAAAGGUCUUGCUUAGAUAACCCUGGUGAGGAGAAAAAUCCAUCCAGCGUUCUCUUGGUCCAUUCAUGGAAAACACAGAGAUCUAGACUUCCAGAGAUCAUGGCCUUCAUCGACGAGUCUAGGAGAAACAUCUGCCUUGAACGUUCUAGAUGUUUAUAACUCAAAACCCUUCGAAUAAAAAACUUUUGUUAUAAAGAAGAGAUUCAAACACAAAAUAUCUUGCAGAAACCCUUUGAAUAAAAACUUUUCUUAUGAAGAUGUUCGAGCACAAAAUAUCUUGCAGAAGAGGUAAACAACAAAAGAGUUUCAAUCCUCAUGUCCACUAUAAUUAGUAUAUUUUGUAAAUUGAAAUUUUAGCUUUAGUACCUUUCUCAAAAACGAGACUACUUCUUCCUUUAUCAUGAUCUAGCCAUUAUGAGAUUGACUUUCUCAAAAGGCGUGGCAAAGAAGAUUAGCAUCGAUACCGUCAUGCAUGGCGUAUAUCAAAACGGCAACUUCCAGGAGAUGAUAUGUAUGGUCAACAUUAUUAACAUUAAUAAUGCUUAUUUAACCCAGAAAAUCAUGAAGUAAAUCGCAACCUGUGAGAAAUUGCUGAGAAACUUGUAUAGAAAAAGAAAGAACAUGCAUCGCGUUAAUUAUUGCAUUUCUUAUCUCCAUAGUCAAGUCUUCUUUCGACAGAGAAUUGAAGUGAAUAUGAUUAUGUAAGCAAAUAUAUCAAUAAUGGAGGAAGUAAAGCUUCUUUUCGAGGUAUAUCCCUUUCAUUAACUAAAUUCUUCUGAAUUUGCUGACCCAUCACACAAAAACACAGGCAAAAGAAUUUUGAUGGUCGGAAGUCUGUUUAUGUUGUAUUAAAAUAUUUUUUUUUAAAAAAUCUAUAUUUAACUUUGGAUCAUCAAAAUAAUAUAAAAAUAUAAAAAAUUAAUUUUUUUAAAAGUACCGUUUGAAAUGCAUUCGCGGCUGCCCUCAAUAGCAAAUGUGUACUGCCCACAGCCCAAGCAAGACUCUUUCAUUAAAAAUCAGCACUAUAAAUGACUAUGGCAGGUAAAGAACAAUCACCAUACAAAUCCCUUGGUCAUGGCGGAGGUAGUGAAGCUGCUCGGAGCAUUGUCCAGCCCAUUUGUUUUCCGAGUGAUAUGGGCUCUCAAAAUGAAGGGCAUUCCAUAUGAGUACAUAGAAGAAGAUGUUACCAUCAAAAGUCCUCUGCUUCUGAAGAAGAACCCUGUUCUUAAGAAGAUCCCAGUGCUUCUCCAUGGCGAAAAACCAGUUUGCGAGUCCAUGAUUAUUGUCGAAUACAUCGAUGAGAUAUGGCCCCAAAAUCCCUUGUUGCCCAAUGACCCUUACGAGAGAGCUCCGGCUCGUUUCUGGGUCAAAUUUACCGACGAUAAGGUAAAAAGAGUACAGGCAUCAUUUUACAUUACAUAAAAUAUUACUAUGAAACCGAGUUCUGGGCUUUAAAGAAAAAUUGGUUUCUGCUGAUUUGGUUAGUUCAUGAUCAAUGAUGAAUCAUUAUGUUGACUCGAGCUGUUCUAAUAAAAUUGAUUAAGGGAAAAAAAGUAAAUGGAAAGGAAUAUAAAAGAAAUACAACAGUGUUUAUACACCAUUCCGGAAUUUAAUAAAAUAGCAGCAUCAACCGACAACCAUUAUGGAUUGUUACAGUAGAAAAACAAGCUCAACUACAAGAGAAAAACCAUCCAUGGAAACGAAAAGGUGAGACAUCCAUGGAAUAUUUCGCAUCCAAAAGCAUAAUAUAGGCUACUUGUUCGUCAUUUUCUCCCUGACACUUUUCAUAUGGAGGAGCAUUUUAUCAUAGUCGGGAAUGUUUUCUUUAAUCAGAGGAACUUCAAUGAAAUUCUGGGCCCAAGCAUGCAAUCGAGGCAGUGUGCUUGGUUCAAGAACUUUCACACCCGCUGCUUCUUCAAUGGCUGCAAACCAAUAAGCGAAGAGUCCAUAUGAGAUGUCAACUAGAUUUAUGCUGUCACCGCCAAAAAACUUCUUGUCCCCGAGACCUUUCUCUUCUAAGACUCUCAACACUUCCGCCACUUCUUUCACUGCCUUCUCUAGCUCCUCUCCACUAGCUCGGAAAAGGGCACCAAAGGCAGCACCCUAAAUAAUGAAAGAAUUCAAUUUACAAGUCACAGAACAGAGAUAAAUGAAUCGAUAUUUGAAGGUGUUUAGCCUGAGGAGAAUAAAAAUAAAAGAAGGCAAGUUAUGAGAAAUUUUUAAUUAUUUUUCCACUUUAAGAACAAGAAGAAGAAAAUGUUUUCUGGAAUCGAUUGUCUUUUUCCAGGACUGCUACCAGAUCAAAUUAAUCAUUGUGGGCCUCAUGAACAGUUACAAAAUAUAUACAAGAAGAUGGAUCUCGUUACCUUGGUAACUCCAUAUUGAAUCCAAAACCGAGCCAUGGCUCUCUCGUAAGGAUCUGUCGGUAGCAGUGGAUUCUCCGGCCAUGUUUCCUCGAUGUAUUCAAGGAUAACAAGAGACUCCGCAAUCGGCUUGCCACCAUGGACGAGUACAGGGAUUUUCUUGUAAACUGGGUUAUACUUCAAUAGCAGUUCACUUUUAUUGGUGAGGUCUUCUUCAAUAUACUCAAACUCCACGCCCUUUAGUUUCAGAGCCCAUAUAACUCUGUAACUAAAAGGGCUAGCCCAGAAACCAUGCAGCUUCACAUCUGCCAUCGUUGCAAUGAGAUCAGUAUGCAAGGUCUGCUGCUGUGCCCAGUCUUCUUAUAGCGACUUUUGGCUUGGGCAAUAAGUUUUGGAUGCAAGAAACAUUUUUUUAUAUUGCAAGUAUGGACUUGACUUGGUCCAUAACUUUGACUCCGAUUUUUUUUUUAUUUAACUUGGACAUCGUAAUUUGCAAGUAAUCCAUACGAUGAACUUGUUUUUUUUUUUUAUUGGUCACUGUGUGCAGUUUAUUACUUUAUUUUCCUUGAAGAAACACUGGCUACCCUGUAAGUUACAUUCUUUGAACGUGUUCAUGCCUUGCCUUUGGAUUAUAUCAUGUUUAUUUCUGUGUUUUAAAAGUAUUUUAAUAAAAAAUUAAAUUUUUUUUAUUUUUUUAUUAAUUUUAAAUUAAUAUGUUUUCAGUGUUUUUAAAUUAUUUUGAUGUACUGAUAUCAAAAAUAAUUUUUAAAAAAUCAAAAAAAUCAUUAACAUAUAUUUUGGCUUGAAAAACAACUACAACCACACUCGGUAUUGAACUUUGAAGAGGACCUAUUUGUUUCUGUGUUUUAAAAGCGUUUUUGAAAAAAUUUGAAUUUUUUUUAUUUUUUUAUUAACUUCAAAUUAAUAUGUUUUUAGUGUUUUCAAAUCAUGUUGAUGUGCUGAUGUCAAAAAUGAUUUUUAAAAAAUAAAAAAAAUCAUUAACAUGUAUUUUAAUACGAAAAAUUAUUUAAAAAACAACUGCAACCAUAUUGUCAAACAAGCUCGAAACCUCAGUGCCCAUCUCCAAGACCUGACAUGCCUACUAAUAUCACGAUGUUAUUGAAUUAAGAAAAGCAGAAAUAAACUAUCCCUGAUUCGACAACCUUUUUCUUUUGUUAAUCUCUGCCAAAUAAUCCUUCGACUAUCUGAAUUCAUCACUAAUUAACUACAAACUAAAAGUAUCAACUUUUUAAUAUUGAUGGUUGUAAUUUAACUUGUAAAAUUUUGGAUUUAUUUUUUUAAAGUUUAUUGUUAUAAAUUUUGAGAUUACUAGAAAUUUAUCUUAUUAAUUUUAGAGUCUCUUGAGAUUAGUUGAGACGCUCGUGGAAUAUGUUUGACAGUGUGAUAACGAUUGCUUUUCAAAUAAUUUUUCGUGCCAAAAUACAUGUCAAUGAUUUUUUUUAUUUUUAAAAAAUUCUUUUUUAUAUCAGCACAUCAAAACAAUCCAAAAUAUACAAAUCAUAUUAAAUUUUAGCAAAAAAAAAUUUAAUUUUUUAAACUGACUCAAAUACUCACGAUUAACAAUAUAUAUAUAUAUAUAUAUCAUCUUUCUAAUAUGCUGAAAUUAUUUUGCACUUCUUUAUAUUUAUUGGAAUUGAAGAAGUGUAUUUUUAAAUAUUACAUUUAUUUUAAUUUUCCCAUGUUUUUUAGAUAUUAGAUGACCAAUCUUUUAAAUUUAAAGACAAUAAGGCACCUAACUUUAUUUUUCUCUUUUCUAGUUGUUUUCUAUUGAGAGGAGGAGAGAGAAAGAGCUGUCGAAUUCUAGCUUAGAUAGAGAAAGUUGUCGCCGUGAAAGAUUCUAAUAACCAAAACGAUUGAUUUUUAGGUCAAAAUAUUUCAUAUAAUGAAAGGGUUAUGUUUAGGUGUUUGUUUACCUUGAAAAAUUCUCAAACAACAAAUUUAAGCUCAUGAAGAAUUUUAUUUUCUUGUGUUUUUAGGUUUUGUGGUGGUUUACUGGGUUUCUGGAGAUCAUGAAUUGGUUUAAUAAGAUUUCUAGAUUGUUUUCAAUAUGUUUUGAGUCAAAUAAAGUUGAAAAGGAGAUUUUGGAUGGAAAAAAAAAUAGGACCUCGUUUUUCUAGCUACCAUAGUGGCCGGACUAUAUGUUUCACAGGUGACACGUCUUUAUAUAUAUAUAAUUGGAGCGAACAACACGUUGUUUGCCUAGUUAAACUUUUUUUAAAAAAUAAAAGCCUGUGUGUGGGCCGUUGCUUUAUUAGGCCAUACACUAGGCCUGACCUUGUUCUUUUUUAAAAGAAAAUUUAGUUUUUUAAAAAAUAAUAAAUUAUUUGUGUAUAUUUUUUCAAAUAAAUUUUGGGUUUAUGUUUUAAAAAGAUUGUGACUAUUUUAAAAUGAUAUUGGGCGUGCUUAAUUUUUAGAGAGAUGAGUAUGAUUCAUCCAUGAUUUUUUCUUAAUUUUAUAUAAAUUAAUUUUUUUUUUAAUAUGAUUUUUUUAUAAGAUUUUUUUGUAUAUGUAGCCUUGCAUUGUUUUUUUAAUUAUUAUUCAGUAAAAUUUAUGUGUGUGUCGAUUUCUAUUAUAAAAUUUAUGUGUUUUUCUUUUACAAAUUUAUUUUGAUAAAGGAAUUCAUUAAAUAUAAUCAAGUAAAUUACUCUUAUUGCAAUGUUGGAUAUCUUGAUUUUUAUUUUUAGCUUGGUUUUCUCAAUUUUAUUUUUGUCAAUUGUUAAUGAUUUUUUUUCAUUGCUUUACAUAAUAGUUACUGGAUUGUUUAAUUUGAUGUAUGCUUAGGUUUUUUGAUUUACACCUAGGAGUUUUUUUAGUAUAAAAAAAACGUUGAAGAACUCUGUAUAAAUUUUAUUUAUGUUUUGAUGUUCAAGAUUUGAUGUUUAUUCUUAUGAUUUUUAAUUUUUUUUUCUUUGAAUUUUUUAUGGAAGUUUGUUGUUUUUAGUUUCAUUAUUCAAUCCAAUUUGAUAAUAUAUUAUUUUUUUAUGUUUUUUUUUUAUGUUUUUACUUUUGAUUUUUGUUCUUUUAUUAAUGUUUUUAUUCUCUUCAAUUUAACUCUCAAAACUAAAAUCCAUUGUUGCCUUUUGAUUUAUUUUUAUUGUAAUUUUAAAACUUAAUGUUUUUAUUUUGGAUUUUUUGUGUUUUUUUUUUUGUGAUUUUAACUCUCAUGAUUUUUUCAUAUAUAGUUUUUUAGGUUUUAUAACCCUGGUCAUAGUUUAAAAAGUUAGCAGUAAUUAACUUUUUUUUAUCUUAUUUGUUUAUAUUCAUAUAUUUUUUUUAUUUCUAUGAAAUUAUCAUAUUCUCAUUUAAUUUUUAUUUUGUUAACAAAUAAAAUCAUUGAGAUGUUUUUGAAAUAUUGUGAAGAUGUAUUUUCAUAAUAUUGAUAAUUGUUUAUCUUUUGUAUUGAAUCGUUAUUUUUUUUAUUUUAUUUGUUGUCGAUAUCUUAUUUUUUAAGAAUAUUAUUAAAUUAAAAAAAUUUAUUAAACUUACUCAAGCCAAUUACUUAAAUAUUAUAUUUGUUUUUGUUUUUGUUUAUUUUAUUUUUUUCAUAUUUUUUACGCCAAAACAAAAUUGACUGCGGCUUUAGUUUUGGUGUCCAGAUAACCCGCUGGCUGAAUGGGCUUGGACUCAACCCGAAAAACUUCACAUCUACCAUACUGAUUACUGAACUGUGACUCGUGUUCAGCAAAGGAGGGUUUUAUAUUAUUCAUUGCCGACUUUUCUUUUCCUUUUCUCUUUUUAUUGCAGACUUCUCUUCUUGGCUGUCCGAAUAAAUGGAAAAUUAGAAGAGGAACAGUCAAAGUUGGAAAGGAGGGUUUUUUUCUGCCCCCUCUUAUCCAUGGCCGCCUCUGUUCAAGCUGAGAUUGCCCUUGGAAAUCCUUAACUAAGAUGCACAAAUUGGAAAUCUCAAUUCCAAGCUCUACGCACUGGUCUUUCCAACAGACAAGGAGAAAUUGAAAAUCAAAUAACAAAGAUCACAAGUUUUAUGGAUCACCAAAAUGAUCUAACAUCACUGGAUAUUCUAAGCUUGCAGUCUGAUUAAAAUUUAUUGACUCAGGUCUUGCUCAGAUAACCCUGGUUAGGAGAAAAAUCCAUCCAGCGUUCUCUUGGUCCAUUCAUGGAUAACACAUUGAUCUAGACUUCCAGAGAUCAUGGCCUCCAUCGAUGAGUCUAAGAGAAACACCUGCCUUGAGCGAGCUCUUAUUAAAUUAAAUAAUUACUAUAAUGUCAAGCAAGCUCUUAUUAUUAUUUUUUAAUAAAUACUUAAAACGAGUUCUGGGCUUUUAAAAAAACUUGGUCUCUGCUGAUGUGGUUAGUUCAUGAUCGAUGAAUCAUUAGGUUGACUUCCCGAGCUGUUCUGAUAAAAUUGAUUAAGGACAAAAAAGUAAAUGGAGAUGAAUAUAAAAGAAAUACAACAUUGUAGCUGCAUCAACCAUUAUGGAGUCUUACAGUAGAAAAACAAGCUCAACUACAAGAGAAAAACCAUCCAUGGAAACGAAAAGGUGAGACAUACAUGGAAUAUUUCGCAUCCAAAAGCAUAAUAUAGGUUACUUGUGUUAGCAUUAUGGAGACAAGCAAGCCCCACCAUGUGCAAGUGGAAUUCUAGUCUCCCACUUAGCACAUGGUGGAGGACACCCCCCACUCCCACAUUUGUAUAUCUAUGUGUGUGCUGUGUAUUGUAGCUUGUGAACUGAAGCUGCGAGAGAAACACAGAGAGAGUUGUGUGAAACACAGAGAGAAGAGAGAGCUUGAGUGUAGAGUUGAGUUGAGAACAUUCUCCUCCUCUUGUUGUUGUAUUAUUUCUUUGUAAGCUUGAUUAAUACAACUAGUAGCUCCGUGGAGUAGGCAAGUUGCCGAACCACGUAAAUUAUGCGUGUUUGAGUUUUGGAUAUAACCCAACAACUAGUAUCAGAGCUUGUUCUUGACAAAGAGGGUGUUUGAUCCAAACUCAAAAAUCAAAGUUCUCAAAACGUGUUUUUGAACAUACCAUCGUGUAGAGGACAACCGGACGAAUCCACUGUUGAAAACCCGGCGAAGAACCGACGUCCUGCAUGCCCGCACGCGCCAACACGCGCCGACGCUAGCACUGCCCACGCGCACCAAAGCGCCGUACGCGCGCCACGUUCCUUCUUCGCCCGGUUUCUGCAAAACGGGUCGGGUCUGACCCGCCACGUCAGCAAAGUCAGACGGUCAGCGUCCACGUCAUCUGCCACGUCAUCUACCACGUCAUCCUAUCUGGGGUUUGAUCCAGUGCACCGCAGACGGUAAUCGUCUGACACGUGGCUACAUCAUCACCGUUGUGGGGUUUUAAUCUGGUGUGACGCAGGAACUAAUCAUCUGACACGUGGCUGAAUCAAGACCGUUUCUGAGUUUUGAUCUGGUGCGACUCAGGCUCUAAUCUUGUGACACGUGGCUGAAUCUACACCGUUACUGAGUUCUGAUCAGGUGUGACGCAGGCUCUAAUCUGCGGACACGUGGCUUAAUCUGCACCGUUAGUGAGUUUUGAUCCGGUGUGACGCAGGCUGUAAUCUACUGACACGUGUCUUCAUCAGAACCGUUAUUGAGUUUUUAUCCGGUGUGACGCAGGCGGUACUCUGUCUGACACGCGGCUGCAUCUGAACCGUCCGUUAAUCCAAAACUUUGAUUGCUAAAAUCUGAGCCAUCCGAAGUCCGAUUGGGGUGAUCUCAGUGUCAUUUCCAAGGUUUUUGGCCGUUCGGACACAUCUGUAAGGUCAGAUUUGGAAAUUCGAAUCGGAGAAUAGUAAAAAUGGCAGAUGAAAUAAAGGCUGCUGGAAUUGAAAAAUUUGACGGAACAGAUUUUGGAUACUGGAAAAUGCAAAUUGAGAUUAUUUAUAUGGGAAGAAACUUCAUCUUCCCUUAUUGGGAAGCAAACCAGAAAAGAUGGAAGAAGAAGAAUGGCAACUUCUUGAUAGACAAGUUCUGGGCAUUAUCCGGCUAUCGUUAUCAAGAAGAGUUGCUCACAAUGUUACGAAAGAAAAAUCCACUGCAAAAUUGAUGGAAGCCUUGUCUGGGAUGUAUGAGAAGCCAUCAGCAAAUAAUAAAGUGCACCUGAUGAAAAAGUUGUUCAACUUGAAGAUGGUCGAAAACGCUUCUGUGACACAACACCUCAACAACUUUAAUACCAUCACAAAUCAAUUAUCAUCUGUUGCGAUUGAGUUUGAUGAUGAGAUUCGUGCACUCAUCUUGCUAGCUUCACUUCCAAGCAGUUGGGAAGGCAUGAGGACAGCCGUGAGCAAUUCAGCUGGAAAAUCCAAACUGAAGUAUGAUGACAUUCGAGACUUGAUUUUGGCUGAAGAAGUGCGAAGGAAAGACUCGGGUGAAAGUUCAAGCUCAGGAUCAGCUCUCAACAUCAACACUCGAGGGAGGAGACACGAUAGAGGCUCAUCCAGAGGCAGAUCAAAAUCCAGAUACAGAAGUAAAAGCAAGUUUGGAUCCAGAAAGCAGGUUGAAUGUUGGAAUUGUGGCAAACCUGGUCAUUUCAGUAGGAAUUGCACAAAACCGAAGAAACCUGAAGCUGACUCUGCAAACGCUACCACAGAUGAGGUACAAGAUGCUUUAAUUCUUGCUGCAAAGUCAAAUUGAUGAGUGGAUUCUUGAUUCUGGUGCUUCAUUCCACUGUACGCCACACAAUGAAAUGCUGCAAAAUUAUGUUGGAGGAGAUCAUGGUGUAGUCUAUCUGGCCGAUGGAACACCACUGAAUAUUGUGGGUAUAGGAGAUGUGCAAAUCAAGACAAUGAAUGGAUCUAUAUGGACCUUGCAGAAUGUAAGGCAUGUUCCUGAAUUAAAGAAGAAGUUGAUCUCUGUCGGACAACUUGAUGAUAGUGGUCAUUCAAUACUUUUUGCUGGAGGAAUGUGGAAAGUAUCAAAGGGAGCAAUGGUUUUAGCUCGUGGAAAGAAAACCGGCACCCUGUAUAUGACCACAAGAUUUGCAGACAUCAUUGCCUCAACUGAAGCAGAAAAUCAAGCACAUCUAUGGCAUUGUAGACUUGGCCAUAUGAGUCAAAAGGGGAUGAAGAUACUUCAGUCGAAGGGAAAGCUGCCAGAGUUAAAAAAUGUCGAUCUAGACAUUUGUGAAAGCUGUGUUCUUGGAAAACAGAAGAAGGUCAGUUUCUUGAAGGUUGGCAGGACCUUAAGACCAAGCAAGCUAGAACUGGUACACACAGAUUUAUGGGGACCGUCUCCAGUAGCAUCUCUUGGAGGUUCUCGGUAUUAUGUGACUUUUAUUGAUGAUUUCAGCAGGAAGGUAUGGGUUUACUUUCUGAAAAAUAAAUCUGAUGUGUUUGAAACAUUCAAGAAAUGGAAGGCUAUGGUUGAGACUGAAUCAGGUCUAAAGUUGAAAUGCUUGAGAUCUGAUAAUGGAGGAGAAUACAUUGAUGGAGGUUUCAAGGAGUAUUGUGCUGUCAAUGGUAUCAGAAUGGAAAAGACCGUUCCAGGCACACCGCAACAGAAUGGCGUUGCUGAACGGAUGAACAGGACCAUCAAUGAACGAGCUAGAAGCAUGAGGUUGCAUUCUGGGUUACCUCAAACAUUCUGGGCUGACGCAGUUCAUACCGCAGUUUACUUGAUCAACCGUGGACCAUCAGUUCCUUUGGAAUUCAGACUGCCCGAGGAAGUAUGGAGAGGAAAAGAGGUACAACUCUCUCAUUUGAAGGUCUUUGGGUGUGUUUCCUAUGUUCACAUAGAUUCUGAUGCUCGCAACAAGUUAGAGCCAAAUCCAAGAAAUGUUUCUUCAUUGGCUAUGGAGAUGAAGAAUUUGGAUUUCGGUUCUGGGAUGAUCAGAAUAGAAAGAUUAUCAGAAGCAGGAACGUGAUCUUCAAUGAGAAAGUUAUGUACAAAGACAGAUCAAGUGGAGAAACAGAGAUGGCUGAUUCAGAUACAAGUCCACAAAGAUCUGAAUUCAUAAGAUUAGAAGGGCUUCCCGAUGUUACUAAGCAGAACAACAAUCAAGAGUCUUUACAAGAAGAUUCAAGCACAUUUGUGCCCACUUCCACACAAGAAGAUGCGGAGCAACUUGAACCAGCUGUUCGCAGGUCUUCGAGGACGAUAAAGCCCCCGCAACGGUUCACACUUUUACUGAAUUAUAUUUUGCUGACAGAUGGUGGUGAACCGUUAUCUUAUGAAGAAUCCUUACAAGAUGGAAACUCAAGCAAGUGGGAGUUAGCCAUGAAGGAUGAGAUGAGUUCGUUGCUGAAGAACAAGACUUGGGAGCUAACAACAUUACCUGAAGGAAAGAAGGCCUUGCAAAAUAAGUGGGUCUACAGAGUGAAGACUGAGCAUGACGGAAGCAAACGGUUCAAGGCAAGACUUGUUGUCAAAGGGUUUCAACAGAAGAAAGGCAUUGACUACUCUGAGAUUUUUUCUCCAGUUGUGAAGCUCACAACAAUCAGAGUUGUUCUGGGGAUAGUAGCUGCAGAAAAUUUACAUCUUGAACAGUUAGAUGUAAAAACAGCAUUCCUUCAUGGUGACUUGGAGGAAGAUAUUUACAUGCAACAGCCAGAGGGGUUUGCAAUGCAAGGAAAGGAGAAUCAAGUCUGCAAGCUACAGAAAAGCCUAUACGGUUUGAAGCAAGCUCCAAGACAGUGGUACAAGAAGUUUGACAACUUCAUGUGCAGUUCCGGGUAUACAAGAUGCCAAGCUGAUCAUUGUUGCUAUGUCAAACAUUUUGACAACUCCUACAUCAUUCUACUAUUAUAUGUAGAUGAUAUGUUGAUUGCAGGAUCCAGCAUUGAGGAGAUUGAUAAGCUGAAACAGCAGUUGUCGAAACAGUUUGAAAUGAAGGAUCUGGGAGCUGCUAAACAAAUACUUGGCAUGAGAAUCAUCAGAGAUAAAGACAAAGGCAUACUAAAGCUCUCACAAACAGAGUAUGUCAAGAAGGUUCUCAGCAGGUUUAGUAUGGAUAAUGCUAAACCAGUAAGUACACCACUGGGGAAUCAUUUCAAGCUCAGCAAAGAUCAGUCACCAAAAACUGAGCUAGAAAGUGGAUACAUGGAUAAGAUUCCAUACGCCUCAGCUAUCGGCUCUUUGAUGUAUGCUAUGGUCUGUACCAGACCAGACAUUGCCCAUGCAGUGGGAGUUGUAAGCCGAUAUAUGAGCAAUCCUGGAAAGCAGCAUUGGGAGGCGGUGAAAUGGAUCAUGAGGUACUUAAAAGGUUCAUCGGAAACUUGUCUCAGUUUCACAGCUGGUGGUUUGAAACUUGAAGGUUUUGUAGAUGCUGAUCUAGCAGGAGAUGUUGAUAGCAGAAAGAGCACUACAGGAUAUGUUUAUACUCUAGGAGGUACUGCUGUUUCCUGGAGUUCUACCUUGCAAAAGAUCGUUGCUCUUUCAACAACAGAAGCUGAAUAUGUUGCAGUCUCAGAAUCUGCAAAAGAGAUAGUAUGGUUGCAGAGUUUCUUGAAAGAAUUGGGCAAGUUGAAUGGGAAAGGUACUUUGUAUAGCGACAGUCAGAGUGCAAUCUUCCUUGCCAAGAAUCCAGCAUUUCACUCCAGGACGAAGCAUAUUCAGAUCAAAUAUCACUUCAUCCGACAACUGCUGGACGACGAGCAACUAAUGCUAGAAAAGAUCUGUGGAAGCAAGAAUCCAGCUGACAUGUUAACCAAAGGAGUUACACUUGAGAAACUGAAGUUGUGCAAAACUUCAGUUGGUCUUCAAGGAUAAAAAAAGGGAUUUCAUUGUUUGUCUCCAAGUGGGAGAUUGUUAGCAUUAUGGAGACAAGCAAGCCCCACCAUGUGCAAGUGGAAUUCUAGUCUCCCACUUAGCACAUGGUGGAGGACACCCCCCACUCCCACAUUUGUAUAUCUAUGUGUGUGCUGUGUAUUGUAGCUUGUGAACUGAAGCUGCGAGAGAAACACAGAGAGAGUUGUGUGAAACACAGAGAGAAGAGAGAGCUUGAGUGUAGAGUUGAGAUGAGAACAUUCUCCUCCUCUUGUUGUUGUAUUAUUUCUUUGUAAGCUUGAUUAAUACAACUAGUAGCUCCGUGGAGUAGGCAAGUUGCCGAACCACGUAAAUUGUGCGUGUUUGAGUUCUGGAUAUAACCCAACAACUUGUUCAUCAUUUUCUCCCUGACACUUUUCAAAUAGAGGAGCAUCUUAUCAUUGUCAGGAAUGUUUUCUUUAAUCAGAGGAACUUCAAUGAAAUUCUGGGCCCAAGCAUGCAAUCGAGGCAGUGUGCUUGGUUCCAGAACUUUCACACCCGCUAUAUCUUCAAUGGCUGCAAGCCAAUAAGCGAAGAGUCCAUAUGAGAUGUCAACUAGAUUUAUGCUGUCACCGCCAAAAAACUUCUUGUCCCCGAGACCUUGCUCUUCUAAGACUCUCAACCCUUCCGCCACUUCUUUCACUGCCUUCUCUAGCUCCUCUCCACUAGCUCGGAAAAGGGGAACUAAGGCAGCACUCUAAAUAAUGAAAGAAUUCAAUUUACUUGUCACAGAACAGAGAUAAAUGAAUAGAUAUUUGAAGGUGUUUAGCCUGAGGAGAGUAAAAAUAAAAGAAGGCAAGUUGUGAGAAAUUUUUAAUUAUUAUUCCACUGUAAGAACAAGAAGAAGAAAAUGUUUUUUGGAAUCGAUUGUUUUUUUCCAGGACUGCUACCAGAUCAAAUUAAAAAUUGUGGGCCUCAUGAACAGUUACAAAAUAUAUACAAGAAGAUGGAUCUCGUUACCUUGGUAACUCCAUAUUGAAUCCAAAACCGAGCCAGGGCUCUCUCGUAAGGAUCUGUCGGUAGCAGUGGAUUCUCCGGCCAUGUUUGCUCGAUGUAUUCAAGGAUAACAAGAGACUCCGCAAUCGGCUUGCCACCAUGGACGAGCACAGGGAUUUUCUUGUAAACUGGGUUAUACUUCAAUAGCAGUUCACUUUUAUUGGUGAGGUCUUCUUCAAUAUACUCAAACUCCACGCCCUUUAGUUUCAGAGCCCAUAUAACUCUGUAACUAAAAGCGCUAGCCCAGAAACCAUGCAGCUUCACAUCUGCCAUCGUUGCAAUGAGAUCAGUAUGCAAGGUCUACUGCUGUGCCGAGUCAUCUUAUAGCGACUCUUGGCUUGGGCAAUAAGUUUUGGAUGCAAGAAACUUUUUUUUAUAAAUGAUUGAUGACUUAAUAUUUUAAUUCUCCCAUAUGUUUUUUUAGAUAUUAGGUGAAUAAUUUUUUAUAUUAAAAGAUAAUAUAUUUUGGUACCUAACUUUAUUUUUAUUUUUUUUAGUUGUUUUCUAUUAAGAAGAGAGAGAAAGAGUCAUUGAAUUUCAACUUAGACAAAAAAUAUUAUCACUAGAAAGAUUCUACAACCAAAACAAUUAAUUUUUAUAUUAAAAUAUUUCAUAUAAUCAGGGGAUUAUGUUUAGGGGUUUGUGUUGCCUUGAAAACACCUCAAACAACAAAUUUAAGCCCAUGAAAAAUUCUAUUUUCUAGUGUUUUUGGGUUUGUGGUGGUUUAUUGGGUUUAUGGAGAUUAUGAAUUGGUUUAAUAAGGUUUUUAAAGUGUUUUCAAUACGUUUUAAGUCAAAAUAGGUUCAAAAUGAGAUUUUGGAUGAAUAAACAAAAGACCUAAUUAUGGUUUAAUAAGUUUUAUUGGGUUUCACAAUCUUUUUAAAAAAAAAAAUUAGUUUUUUAAAAAAUAAUACAUUAUUCGUGUAUAUUUUUUCAAAUAAAUUUUGGGUUUAUAUUGUAAAAAGAUUAUGAUUAUUUUAAAAUGAUAUUGGGUGUUUUUUAUUUUUAGAGAGGCGAGUGUGAUUUAUCUGUGAUUUUUUCUAAAUUUUAUAUAGAUUAAGUUUUUUUUUAAUAUGAUUUUAAAAAAAAAAAAUUAUAUGUGUAACUUUGCAUUGUUUUUUUAAUUAUUGUUCAGUAAAUUUUAUGUGUGUGUCAAUUUCUAUUAUAAAUUUUAUGUGUUUUUCUUUUACAAAUUUAUUUUGAUAAAUGAAUUCAUUAGAUAUAAUUAAGUAAAUUACUUUAAUUGUAAUUUUAGAUAUCUUGAUUUUUAUUUUUAGCUUAGUUUUCUCAAAUUCAUUUUUAUCCAUUGUUGAUGAUUUUUUCCCAUUACUUUACACAAUAGUUAUUGGAUUGUUUAAUUAGAUGCGUGCAUAAAUUAUUUGAUUUAUAUCUAAGAGUUUUUUUUAGUAUAAUAAAACACAUUGAAGAACUUUGUAUAUUCAAUUUUAUUUAUGUUUUGAUGUUAAAGAUUUGAUAUUUAUUCUUAUAAUUUUUAAUUUGUUUCUUUGAAUUUUUUAUGAAAGUUUCAUUAUUCAAUUCAAGUUUAUAAUGUAUUGUUUUUUUUUUUUUUAUCUUUUAUCUUUUUUUUUCUUUUAUUAAUGUUUUUAUUCUCUUUAAUUUAGCUCUCAAAACUAAAAUUCGUUGUUGCCUUUUGAUUUAUUUUUAUUGCAAUUUUAACACUCAUUGUUUUUAUUUUGGAUUUUUAUGUUGUUUUUUUUUUUAAUGAUUUUAACUCUCAUGAUUUUUUCAAGUAUAAUGUUUUCGGUUUUAUAACCCGGAUCAUGGUCUAAAAAGUUAGAAAUAAUUAACUUUUUUAUCUUAUUUUUUAUAUUCAUAUUUUUUUUCUUUCUAUAAAAUUAUCAUAUUCUCAUUUAAUUUUUAUUUUGUUAACAAAUAAAAUCAUUAAGAUGUUUUUAGAAAAUUGUGAAGAUAUAUUUUUAUAAUAUUAGUAAGUGUUUAUCUUUUGCAUUAAAUCGUUAUUUUUUUUGUCUUAUUUGUCGUCGAUAUCUUUUUUUUUGACAAUAUUAUUAAAUUAACAGAGUUUAUUAGUCAAUUAUUUUAAUAUUAUAAAAUGUGUUGAAAGGAAAUGAUUUUAGAUAUAACCAUAAAAUUAUAAUUAUAAAGUUUAGAAGUCGCGAGCCACAAUUAUGAAUAUUUUUAAAAUUUAUUGAUGCGCGAGAGUCUGAGUAAAAAAAUUUAUUGUGUAAAAAGAAGAUACAUCACCAUAACAUAUCAUACUUAAAAUAAGUUAUAUUGUUGUUUGAUAAUUUUUUCCAGGUAAAAUUUUUAUUUAUUGGUUUCAUCCAAGCAAAAAUCUCUUUAAACAACUAUCGUUACCACAUAAUACGGACGUUCAUUGUUUUUGUUAAAUUAUACACUCCUCCCCUGUAAAACAGAUUGAUUGAACCUUGAGUGAAUUUGGAAAUAGCUCUAAUCUCAGGAGUCAGGAUUACUGUCAGUGAAUGUUGAUGUAAACCAGAUGAACCCUUAUUAUGGUACUUAAUUUGGCUAAAUGUUUAUAUGAAAUUCACAUACAAAUUCAUGAGCACUGUUAUUUUAUUCUGGGUGUCCCAUUCACAACAGAUCCCUUCCUGUCCAACUAGAGGUACGUGCAAGCUGACCCGAACAUCCACAUUGAUAAAAAAAAAAAUUGUCCUUCUGGUUUUUCCGGUGACCUUUCUUGGCUGUCAAGAGGCGUGGCAAAGAAGAUUAGCAUCGAUGCCGUCAUGCAUGGCGUAUAUCAAAACAGCAACGUCCAGGAGAUGAUAUGUAUGGUCAACAUUAUUAACAUUAAUAAUGCUUAUUUAACCCAGAAAAACAUGAAGUAAAUCGCAAACCGUGAGAAAUGGCUGAGAAACUUCUACAGAAAAAGAAAGAACAUGCAUCGCAUUAAUUAUUGCAUUUCUAAUCUCCACAGUCAAGUCUUACUUCGACAGAGAAUUGAAGUGAAUAUGAUUAUGUAAACAAAUAUAUCAAUAAUGGAGGAAGAAAAACUCCUUUUUGAGUUAUAUCCCUUUCAUUAACUAAAUUAUUUUGAAUUUGCUGACCCAUCACACAAAAGCAAAGGCUAAAGAAUAUUGAUGGCGGAAGUCUGUUCAAUUGUAUUAUUUAGUUAUCAGACUUUCAUGAUACGGAUCCUGAGUUUAACGGGUUAACAUGGUUUGACGAGUUAACCUGAAUUUUUUUUUCUUUUUAAUUAAUUUUUUUCGUUUAGUUCAGUUUGUUAAUAAUCACUUUUUUUUUUUAGUUACCAGACAUUCAUAACACGGAUCCGGGGUUUUACGAGUUAACUUGGUUUGACGAGUUAACCUGUAAGUUUUUUUUUUUUGCUUUUUUUUCUUUUAAAUUAAUUUUUUUUUAAUUUAAAUUGUUGAUAUUAAAUUUUUUUUAUUUAGUUAUCAAACUUUCAUGACACGGAUUCCGGGUUUGACAGGUUAACAUCAUAGUUUUGAAACCCGAUCCGGUCAUUGACCCGGUCGACCUUCUGGGUCACGGGUCAGGUGGGUUGACCCGGGUUAACCCAAAAAAACCUAUAUAUAUAUAAAAAAAAACAUAACUAAUUACAAUACAACACUUACUUAAACCAAAUUUAAAUUAUAAACCAACAACAUAAAUUUAAUUCAAUAUCCAAAAUACAAACCAAAUAUAAAUUAUAAAAUAUUUAAAACAAAACAUCCAACCACAUAAAUUCCAACAACAUAAAUUCUAAAAUAUUUAAAACAAAAUAUCAAAAUUUAAAACAACAACACAUUCACUUAUGUUGAAUUAACACAUUAAGUUAUUCUGUCUCCAUGGAAGAAAAAUUUGGAUCAAAUGUCGAUGGAAUGGAGCCAAUCUCGUCAACACCUAAUAAAUCAUCAGCAUGCUCCUUUGAAACUUCAUCGUCACAAUCAUCUUCAAUAUCAUUAACAUUUAUGACAUCUACAUUUCAAACACAAUUAAGAAAUAAAUAUUAUGUGUUAAACAAAACUUUAUUUUAAAUAAUAUUUAUCACUAAAUAAUAAUCAUUAAUUACCAUCAUCUAAAGUAUCUUGUAUGGUCAUAGUUGAUAGAGCUUGGUGAAAACUCUCUACUUCUUCCGUUGUCAAGAUUGAUGGGUCAUCUUCGACUACCCAAUUUUCAAUGUCAAAAUUGUCUCAACAUUAAUUGGAUCAUAAUUUCAUCCUUUCCAAUAAUUCCUAUAUAUUAAAAGUGAAGGUAAACACAAUAUAAGUAUUAAUAAUGCUACUAAACAAGAUAAAAUAAUAUUUAAGGAAUUAGAGAAAAGAAAAAUACUUUUGUUUCAAUCUUAGAUUGCAGUGGACGUAAACAAGGUCAUUAAGCCUUUGGUGCUCCAAUCUAUUUCUCUUCUUGGAAUGAAUAUGUUCAAACAUACUCCAAUUUCUCUCACAUCCCGAAGAACUACAAGUUUGACUUAACACUCGUAUAGCCAAUUGUUGUAGAUUUGGAGCGCUGGUUCCAUAUGUCAUCCACCAUUCAUCUAUACAAAAAAAUAAUAAGUAAAAGUGUAAGACUGUCAAAUAAUAUUUUUAAAUAUAAAAAUUAUAUACCUGGAGGCAUAAGGGUGCGAUUAUUUAUUGCGGACGCUUGACCAAAGUCAUGUUCAACAUUCCUAAAAAACUUCAUCUCACUUGUAAUCUUACUUUGCAAUGGUAGAUUUCCAUGUGCAUACUUCUCAAGAACAUCUAGAAGUCCAGAAAUGGUGCUCAUAUGUUUAUCCAUUAUAUUUGCAUCAUAUUGAAAUCGAGGAUUCAACCAAAAUGCUGCUGUAUAAAGAUUUUUAUAAAGUUGUCCACCCCACCGAUUAUUGAUAAUGUUUAUGAAAGGUUUCACUCUAGCCUUUCUUUUUUGAAAUCUCCUCAUCAUUUCUUCUUUUGCAUGAUUAAUAGCAUCAUAUAAAUAUUCCAUCGAAGGUUUAUCAUCACCAUCAACCAUUCGUAGAACUCAAAUUAAAGGUUCACUCAUUCGCACAAUUAUUGCACAUUCUUCCCAAAACAAAGAGUCUAGCACACUUCAACAAACUUUUUUCCUUUGAUAUCUUUAGCAUAAGCAGAUGAGACCCAUUCCCUAGAUGUCACCAUAGCUCUCAACUCAUCUUUAUGAGCUAAAAUGCUUUGCAAUGCAAUGAAAUUGGUGGCAAAACGAGUAGGAGCUGGACGAAGUAUUUCUUUUCCUCCAGUGAACUUCCUCAUCAAAUACAAUGGAUAACAAUGAUUAUAAAUGUACUUUGUGAUACCAGAAGCAUGCUCAACAACAAACAAACUGACUGCAAUUUACCAAUGUCCUGGAGUAUGAGGUUGAUGCAAUGAGCAGCACAAGGAGACCAAAAUAUUGAAGGAAAUUCUUCCAUCAAUAACCUGCCAGCAGCAACAUAAUUUGCAGCAUUAUCAGUCACCAUAUGCACAAUGUUUUCUACCCCAACAUACAAAACAACCUCUCUAAACAACUGAUACAACAAUCUAGCAGUCUUUGAGACAUCUGAUACAUCCACCGUUUUCAAAAAAAUUGUUCCUUUAGGACAAUAUACUAAGAAGUUAAUUAAAGUCCUCCUCUUCUGAUCUGUCCAUCCAUCAGCCAUUAAUGUGCAACCAGUCUUCUUCCAAAUCUCCCGAUAACUCUCAACAUAAAUCUUCACUUCAUCAACCGCUUUUGCCAAGUAAUAACCACGGAUAGCAUGCAAGUUUGGUCCUUUAUAACCAGGACCCAUGGUUGUUACAGCAUCUAUGGCAUGCUGAUAAUACACAGAGUUAACAAUAUUAAAUGGAACACAUGCAUCAAACAUCCACUUCGCUAAAGCAAGAUCACACCGUUCAACUGCUUCUUUCCUUUGCCAACAAUUCUGAAGAGACUUUUGAGCACCAGGAGUUGUUCUCGGCAUGAAAUAUAUCCCUAAUGUUGCAGAUUUCUUCUGCUUUCCAUAGCUUGUAGUUGAUUGUUUUAUAGUACCGGUGCUUUGAAUCUUUUUCUUUUUUGCAACCUUCGGUGGUAACAUAUGUUUUUUAGUAUUGACAUCCUCAUCCUCCUCCUCCUCAUCAUCACCAUCAUCUUCUAAUUGCCUAAUCAUUAUCUCUUCAUGCUCCCUUUGUUGUGCAUUAAAGGGAUUGAAAUCUGCUUGUAUUUCUCUAAUUCUUUUUUUCGUUUCAACAUUUCCUUUAAGGUUCAAAAGCAUUUGAUGUCGAACAUCAGGAGGACAUUUGCGACAUUGUUCAACUUCUCCUUUAGCUCCAGCUAAAUGUUGCUUAAAUCGAUUAAUACCACCACCCGCAAAUACUUUAGCACAAUAUAAACAAAACUAAUUUAGUUUUUUUACAUCCAACACUAAGUUCAGGAGCUUCUCUACAAUGACCCCAUGCUAAAUCUGUUUUUCCUCUACUACCACUUGACAUGGAAAUUGAAGGUUGAGAUGAUUGGGCCGUUGAAGGAUCACUACUUGGAGUACUACCAUCAUGUGAAGACAUUUUCAAACCUGACAUAAUGCAAUAGAAUUGCAUAAGUUUCGAUCACUGAUGAAGAAAAAUAAACUUUAUGCAUGACAAAAAUAAUUCUGAAUUCAACACUCCAAUUUACCCUGACACUCCAAUCCAUCCAUACACUCCCAAAACACCAACUAAAAAUUACUCAAUUUUUUCCUCUACACUUUUCCUUCAACUAUUAACAAUUGAAUUGCUAAACCAAACUCUAAAUUACUCAAUUUUUUCCUCUACACUUUUGCAUGGUGAGCAUUGCCUUCUUUUUUCAUAACGUUUAAUUCCCUUUUGGUUCCUUAUAAUUUAUGUUCUUUUUCUUUCCUAACCGUCUUGAUUGUUGGAUUUUUCAUAUGUCUGGUAUAGAUUCUGUUAUCUUUCAAGACUAAUUACUUGAUUUUGGGUAUUCUAACAUGCUUAUUUCUUGUAAUAAAACUGUUGAUACUUUCGUAUAUUUCUGCCAUGUAAUUCCUAUCUGUAAAUUGCAUUUUGCAUAAUCCUAAACUAUUUCUGCCAUGUAAUUCCUAUCUGGUAUUCUAGCAUUCAAUCAUAGUUUUAUGUGUAGAUGUUAGCAUCUGUCUCUUGAAACUAUUUGAUAAUUUUGAGAAUUGAGAUACAUGAGCAGCAGAUUAAGGUAAAUAUGCAAUGUUGGCUGUGCUUUUUUGCUUGUUAUAACAUUUGAUAUUCACAAUCAAGCACAAAAUUGAUAUUCAACUCAGAAACAGUUAUAAUAGCCUAACCGAACAAACAAACUCGUCAAAUGAACAAAUCAGACGCCUUUAUUUCUCUAAAAUUCCUCUUCGUUAAUCACUAAUUACAAAAACAACACAAACAAACCUCGAAUAAUUAAGUUCAUAAAACAUGCUAGAAACAGAGACUAUGUUGUUUGUUUGCAUAGAAACAGAGACUGUUGCUCAAAAUCAAGAACUACCAAGAUGUUUCAGUGAGCCUUGAAAGAAGAAACCAUGCAACGGUUGAAUGAUUAUGUAACAGUUGUAUGAAUCGACAGAGAGUUCAUCAAGAAGUGAUGAAGAACACAGACGAAUUGAAUUGAUGAAGAAAAUACAGACACUGUAGCAGCAAUCGGGUUGGAGAAACAUACCUGAGGGCUGAGGUUUCUUCUUCUGCGAAAUCGAUUGAAGAACCCAGAAGUAUGAACUUGAAUCGCAGGAGUGAAGAAACACAGAAGUAUGACCUUGAAACUGAAAUUAAUGCCAGAACCCAGAAAUGAGAAAACGACGAAGAAUAAACAAAACAGAGAGUGAAAGAAGGAGAUUCAAACCUUUUUCGCAGAGAUCAAUGGUUAAUUCGUUCUUCUUCUGCUUCGUUCAAUUCGGGCGAGACAGAUUAGGUCUUCGUUCUUCGUUCGAUUGCUUCAUUCUUCUUCUGCUUCACUUUUCGGUGCGAUUGUAUAUUUUAGAGUCAUUAAACGGCGUCGUUUAAUGACAGGGGGAGUAAAAAAAAAUAGUGGCCGGGUGGACCGGGUCCCGGGUCGACCCACCGGGUGGACCGGGUUUGACCGGGCCAAUUCCCAAGCGGGUUUUGGCCUCCACCCGGACCGGUUCCAUGCCCGGGUCGACCCGCCAGGCCGGUCCGGGUUUAAAAACUAUGGUUAACAUGGUUUGACGAGUUAGCCCGGUUAAUUCUGGGUUAACCUAUUAAUUUGUUUUUUUCUUUUUAAUUAUCAAACUUUCACGAUGCGAAUUCAAGGUAUGACGGGUUAACCUGGUUUGAAUGGUUAACCCAAUCAAUUCAUUUUUUUUUCUUUUUCGUCAUUAGUUUUUUUUCUUCCUAUUGGUUUUUUUUCUUUGUUUUUUUUUUUAACUAAUCUAUUUAAUUAUCAAACUUUUAUGACACGACCUUGCAGCCAGACCCACGUCCAAUGCUAUUGGGUCUGGUAUUGUAGUCCAGACACUUUUAUGCUAAAGGUUAACCCAAGUUUAAUGUUAUUAUUAAUAUUAUAAAUAUUACUCUUGGAUCAGGCGUUACAACCAAACCUAAGACUCUUAGAUAUAACUUUGCAAAAAAACCUAAUACUUUUAGAUGUUGAUUAUUUUUUAAAUGCAAAAAUUAAUCAAUUCGCGGCAUCGCGCGUGGCAUGUAAGUAGUAAAUGACAAUGGCAGGUAAAGAACAAUCACCAUGCAAAUCCCUUGGUCAUGGCGGAGGUAGUGAAUCUCCUCGGAGCAUUGUCCAGCCCAUUUGUUUUCCGAGUGAUAUGGGCUCUAAAAAUGAAGGGCAUUCCAUAUGAGUUCAUAGAAGAAGAUGUUACCAACAAAAGUCCUCUGCUUCUGAAGAACAACCUUGUUCUUAAGAAGAUCCCAANNNNNNNNNNNNNNNNNNNNNNNNNNNNNNNNNNNNNNNNNNNNNNNNNNNNNNNNNNNNNNNNNNNNNNNNNNNNNNNNNNNNNNNNNNNNNNNNNNNNNNNNNNNNNNNNNNNNNNNNNNNNNNNNNNNNNNNNNNNNNNNNNNNNNNNNNNNNNNNNNNNNNNNNNNNNNNNNNNNNNNNNNNNNNNNNNNNNNNNNNNNNNNNNNNNNNNNNNNNNNNNNNNNNNNNNNNNNNNNNNNNNNNNNNNNNNNNNNNNNNNNNNNNNNNNNNNNNNNNNNNNNNNNNNNNNNNNNNNNNNNNNNNNNNNNNNNNNNNNNNNNNNNNNNNNNNNNNNNNNNNNNNNNNNNNNNNNUGAAAUGAAUUGUGUAUCUAUCCAUUCUAUGAAAUAGAAAAAACAAAUUGCAUGUUUAGCACAACACACAGUGCCAAAGGCCUUGACAUUGCAGCAGCCUAGACACAACAACAUUUUCCAAUUUAACUUUCACACACUUGUUUUAUUUAUUUAUUUCAUUUGGGUUAACAGCAACGCAGAUAUUAGCAAUAGAAAUGUAUUCACAAAACAAUAUCAAUAGCAAUCCUGUAAAGGAACAGACGUCAAGUAUCAAAAUCAGAAAUAUAAUCUUCUAUACAAUGAUCGGCAGAGAGUUCAUCAACACAUCAUGGUAACAGUUCAUCAUGGAAAACAACAACACAGACGAAUUUGAAUUGAUGAAGAAAAUACAGACACUGUAGCAGCAAUCGGGUUGGAGAAACAUACCUGAGGGCUGAGGUUUCUUCUUCUGCGAAAUCGAUGGCAGCAAGUGAAGAAACACAGAAGUGUGAACUUGAAUCGGGUUGAAACUUGAAACUGAAAUUGAUGCCAGAACCCAGAAAUGAGAAAACGGCGAAGAAUAAACAAACAGAGAGUGAAAGAAGGAGAUUCAAACCUUUUUCGCAGAGAUUAAUGGUUAAUUGCUUCAUUCUACUUCUGCUUCGUUCAAUUCGGGCGAGACAGAUUAGGUUUCGUUCUUCGUUUGUCUUCUGUCUUCGCUAAACAAAGAAGCAUGUUUUUAGAGUCAUUAAACGGCGUCGUUUAAUGACAGGGAGAGUUAAAAAAAAAGUGGUCGGGUGGACCGGGUCCCGGGUCGACCGGGUUUGACUGAAACAAUUCCCAAGUGGGUUUUGGCCUCCACCCGGACCGGUUCCAUGCCUGGGUCGGCCGGGUCCCGGGUCGACCCGUCGGGCCGGUCCGGGUUUAAAAACUAUGGGCGGAGCUGAGAUUAUUUGAUAGGAAGGGUCAUAACUGAUGUUAUAAGAUAUAAUUUUUUAUAUGUAAACCACACUAAUUUAUAAAAGCAAAAUUAACAUAUUAAAAAAAAAAUUAUUUAUAAAAACAAAUCUAACAUAAAAAAUUGAAUUAUUGGUUUCUAAAGAAUAAAACUUAAAUUGAAUUAAAGAUGGACAUGUGCUUUUCAAAACACUUAAUUUGGCUAGAAAGAUUGUGUCUAAUUGUAUAUUGGACCUAGUGAUAGUAAGGUACAUGUGAGGAAAAAAAUUAAUAAUUUUGACAGCUCUGCUAAAAAUAAAACAUAAAAAAAUAUAUGUCUAAUCGACAUAAACCCAUAAAAUAUAUUCAAUUCAUUAGAAAAAACAACAUUCACUAUAGCAAGAAAUAAAAAAAAAUGGGAAGACUAGUAGAUAUAGAAAAAAAAAAAAUAGCGCACGCGCACACCUUAGCAAAUUCUUAACAAACAUAAAAAAACAAACAAAAGAUUUUAAAUUUGAGUCACUAAUUACAUUGUUUCGAUAAACAAUGAAUUAAUUGAUAACUUUGCUUUAACUUUUCCGCAUUGCUUUGUAUUUUUUUAUUUUUUUUUGUUAGGACUCUGGAGAAUGAAAAUAGAAAAACAAUAAAGAAAGGUAACUUUUCCACAGUAAAACAUUGAUUCCUUAGGCGUUUUUUUUUUUUGUCAUAGUUUUUUUAUGCUUUUUGGGAUUUUUUUUGCUUCUUCCUUUGUUUUUUUUUCUUUUAACAAAAUGUUUUUGUUUAAUUUAGUUUAUUGAUGUUAAAUUUUUUUAUUUAGUUGUCAGACUUUCCUGACAUGUUUACCGGAUUUAACGGGUUAACCUGGUUUGACAAGUUAAAAUAGAAUAUUUAUUUUUGCUUUUUAUUCUUUUUAAUUAAUUUUUUUCGUUUAGUUUAGUUUGUUAAUGUUAAAUUUCUUUCUAUUAGUUAUUAGACUUUCAUGACACAUAUCCCGAGUUUCGCGGGUUAACCUGAUUUCACGGGUGAACCCAGUUAAUUCUGGGUUGACCCGUCAAUUUAUUUAUUUAUUUUUAUUUUCAUAAUUUUUUUUGUUUAAUUUAGUUUGUUAAUGUUAAAUUUUUUUUAUUUAGUUAUCAGACUUUCAUGACACGGAUCCUGGGUUUAACAUGGUUUGACGAGUUAACUUGGAUUUUUUUUUCUUUUUAAUUAAUUUUUUUUGUUUAGUUCAGUUUGUUAAUGUUCAUUUUUUUAUUAUUUAGUUACCAGACAUUCAUAACACGGAUCCGGGGUUUAACGGGUUAACUUGGUUUGACGAGUUAACCUGAAAAAAAAAAUUUUUGUUUUUUUUUCUUUUAAAUUAAUUUUUUUUGUUUAAUUUAAAUUGUUGAUGUUAAAUUUUUUUUAUUUAGUUAUCAAACUUUCAUGACACGGAUUCCGGGUUUGAUAGGUUAACAUGGUUUGACGAGUUAGCCCAGUUAAUUCUGGGUUAACCCAUUAAUUUGUUUUUUCCUUUUUAAUUAUCCAACUUUCACGAUGUGAAUUCAAGGUAUGACGAGUUAACCUGGUUUGAAGGGUUAACCCAAUCAAUUCAUUUUUUUUUCGUUUUCUUCAUUAGUUUUUUUCUUCCUGUUGGUUUUUUUUCUUUAUUUUUUUCUUUUUAACUAAUCUAUUUAAUUAUCACACUUUUAUGACACGACCUUGCAGCCAGACCCACGUCCAAUGUUAUUGGGUCUGGUAUUGCAAUCCAGACACUUUUAUGCUAAAGGUUAACCCAAGUUUAAUGUUAUUAUUAAUAUUAUAAAUAAUACUCUUGGAUCAGGCGUUACAACCAAACCUAAGACUCUUGGGUAUAACUUUGUAAAAAAACUUAACACUUUUAGAUCUUAAUUAUUUUUUAAAUGCAAAAAAUAAUUGACUCGCGCGGAGCAUGUAAGUAGUAAAUGACUAUGGCAGGUAAAGAACAAUCACCAUGCAAAUCCCUUGGUCAUGGCGGAGGUAGUGAAGCUGCUUUGAGCAUUCUCCAGCCCAUUUGUUUUCCGAGUGAUAUGGGCUCUAAAAAUGAAGGGCAUUCCAUAUGAGUUCAUAGAAGAAGAUGUUACCAACAAAAAGUCCUCUGCUUCUGAAGAAUAACCCUGUUCUUAAGAAGAUCCCAGUGCUUCUCCAUGGCGAAAAACCAGUUUGCGAGUCCAUGAUUAUUGUCGAAUACAUCGAUGAGAUAUGGCCCCAAAAUCCCUUGUUGCCCAAUGACCCUUACGAGAGAGCUCCGGCUCGUUUCUGGGUCAAAUUUACCGACGAUAAGGUAAAGAGUACAGGCAUCAUUUUACAUUACAUAAAUAUUACUAUGAAACCGAGUUCUGGGCUUUAAAAAAAAAUUGGUUUCUGCUGAUUUGGUUAGUUCAUGAUCGAUGAUGAAUCAUUAGGUUGACUUGCCGAGCUGUUCUGAUAAAAUUGAUUAAGGGAAAAAAAGUAAAUGGAAAGGAAUAUAAAAGAAAUACAACAGUGUUUAUACACCAUUCCGGAAUUUAAUAAAAUAGCAGCAUCAACCGACAACCAUUAUGGAGUGUUACAGUAGAAAAACAAGCUCAACUACAAGAGAAAAACCAUCCAUGGAAACGAAAAGGUGAGGCAUACAUGGAAUAUUUCGCAUCCAAAAGCAUAAUAUAGGCUACUCGUUCAUCAAUUUCUCCCUGAAACCUUUCAUAAAGAGUAGCAACUUAUCAUUAUCAGGAAUGUUUUCUUUAAUCAGAGGAACUUCAAUGAAAUUCUGAGCCCAAGCAUGCAAUCGAGGCAGUGUGCUUGGUUCCAGAACUUUCACACCCAUUGCUUCUUCCAUGGCUGCAAACCAACAAGUGAAGAGUCCAUAUGAGAUGUCAACUAGAUUUAUGCUGUCACCGCCAAAAAACUUCUUGUCCCCGAGACCUUGCUCUUCUAAGACUCUCAACACUUCCGCCACUUCUUUCACUGCCUUCUCUAGCUCCUCUCCACUAGCUCGGUAAAGGGCAACCAAGGCAGCACCCUAAAUAAUGAAAGAAUUCAAUUUACAUGUCACAGAACAGAGAUAAAUGAAUAGAUAUUUGAAGGUGUUUAGCCUGAGGAGAGUAAAAAGAAGGCAAGUUAUGAGAAAUUUUUAAUUAUUAUUCCACUUUAAGAACAAGAAGAAGAAAAUGUUUUUUGGAAUCGAUUGUUUUUUUCCAACUGCUACCAGAUCAAAUUAAACAUUGUGGGCCUCAUGAACAGUUACAAAAUAUAUACAAGAAGAUAUGGAUCUCGUUACCUUGGUAACUCCAUAUUGAAUCCAAAACCGAGCCAUGGCUCUCUCGUAAGGAUCUGUCGGUAGCAGUGGAUUCUCCGGCCAUGUUUCCUCGAUGUAUUCAAGGAUAACAAGAGACUCCGCAAUCGGCUUGCCACCAUGGACGAGUACAGGGAUUUUCUUGUAAACUGGGUUAUACUUCAAUAGCAGUUCACUUUUAUUGGUGAGGUCUUCUUCAAUAUGCUCAAACUCGACGCCCUUUAGUUUCAGAGCCCAUAUAACUCUGUAACAAAAAGGGCUAGCCCAGAAACCAUGCAGCUUCACAUCUGUCAUCGUUCCAAUGAGAUCAGAAUGCAAGGUCUCCUGCUGUGCCAAGUCUUCUUAUAGCGACUUUUGGCUUG
rnacentral:lncRNA from 1 species